GCCUAUCACAGCAAUGCCCCAGUCCUUGGUACCAACUUCUGUCUUAGUUAGGGUUUUACUGCUGUGACCAGACACAUGACCAAUGCAAGUCUUAUAAAGGACAACAUUUAAUUGGGACUGUUACAGGUUCAGAGGUUUCAGUCCAUUAUCAUCGAGGCAGGAGCGUGGCAGCGUCCAGGUCCAGGUAGGCAUGGUUCAGGAGGAGCUGAGAGUUCUACAUCUUCAUCUGAAGGCUGCUAGCGGAAUACUGAGUUCUGGGCAGCUAGGAUGAGGGUCUUAAAGCCCACACCCACAGUGACACACCUACCAACAGGGCCACACCGUCUAAUAGUGCUACUCCCUGGGCCAAGCAUAUACAAACCAUCACAACUACCUUACCAGUUGUUCUGUCUGGUGGCGUGGUCCACUGUCACACAUUUGGAUAACUAUACAGAGCAUUUCUACCGACUUUAUAUUGGAUUGGAUUCCAAGGGCACAGGACAACAGAAUAUGGAAUCAACGUGUGCAUGAGAAAGUUGCCUUAUAAUAUUAGUAACAACACAAAAUGGCAGGCUGGCCAGGUAACAGUUACCUAGGCCUUAACAUUCCAUCUAGGCCUAAAUAUUUUACCCAGACCUUAACAGUUGUGAGGUUUGUUUUGCAGGCCCUGACAGACUACAGGGCGGAGCUCCGGGACGACCCAAUCAUCAGCACACAUUUGGCCAAGUUGUACGAUAACUUACUGGAACAGAAUCUGAUCCGGGUCAUUGAACCUUUC
rnacentral:lncRNA from 1 species